AGCGAACGCUGGCGGCAUGCCUAACACAUGCAAGUCGCACGGGGGGGCUUCGGCCUCCCAGUGGCGGACGGGUGAGGAACGCGUAGGGACCUGUCGAGGGGUGGGGGAUAACCGCGGGAAACUGCGGCUAAUACCGCAUGACGCCGCGGCGUGACAGCCGGGGCCAAAGGCGAAAGCCGCCCGCCGAGGGGCCUGCGUCCGAUUAGCUGGUUGGCGGGGUAGCGGCCCACCAAGGCGUCGAUCGGUAGCUGGUCUGAGAGGGUGAUCAGCCACACCGGGACUGAGACACGGCCCGGACUCCGACGGGAGGCAGCAGUGGGGAAUAUUGGACAAUGGGCGCAAGCCUGAUCCAGCAAUGCCGCGUGGGUGAAGAAGGUCUUCGGAUUGUAAAGCCCUUUCGGCGGGGACGAUGGUGACGGUACCCGCAGAAGAAGCCCCGGCUAACUUCGUG
rnacentral:rRNA from 1 species